rnacentral:lncRNA from 10 species
GCUCCUUAAGGCAGCCCCACGAGCACAGGUGCACCAGGUCCCAACAUUUGGAACCGUGCCAGUUGACUCAUCUCUUUGGUGACACUUCUUCCCAACUGUGUGUAACUGAGCUUGGGCCAGGCCAGCUAAUGUCUGUGACUGUCUCCUAAUUUGGAAUUUUUUCUGCUUUAUAAUGAGUGUGGCCCAAUCAUACUCUACUGUCAAUGAUUCCAGAACUCAGCUGGAUGCGAAAUUGGAGCCCAUCAGAAACAGGAAAGACAGCCUCACGUGCAGUCCUCUGGAUUGAAGAAUGGGAAGCAUUGGGGAAAAAAGUCUGAUCAAGAAUGUUUCAAAGAUUUCAAAGACCAGGGGCAGAAAGUAGAGAACUCAGCACAGCAUCUGUAGCAGCAUUUCCUUGGCACCUACCAUGUGCCAGACACUGGGCUAUGAGCCCUGGGUUAUUACAGUGAUGAUACAAUAGGUUGCUGUCACUGCUAGACCUUUGUCAUCAGAGGGCUUCCUGUGCUCAGGGGACAGCACUCUCCAGAUCCUGGCUCGCUGCCACAGUUGUCACUCUGAGUGGAGGAGAACGGACGCGGCCCUCAGAAGGCAAGCUGCUGCCCGAAGGACCUGAGUCUGCCGGACUCCACCUGGAGCCAGAACCACGAUCCUCUUCAUAACAUGAGGCCUUUUAUGGCUCUAUCUGCUCCCCACUGUCUGGGCCCAGUGGUAGCAGAGGGGUUGACAAGGACUCCACAUGCAUGGCACUGAACUUCUCCAUCAGAGUAGCCCCCUCCAAAACCACAAACACACACCGCACAAGUCACAUGUGUUUAAACACAGGAGUCACCACAGCUUUGGUGAAAACUGGGGGCUACCAGCUUGCAGAUAAGCUGUUGAAUUCUACCUUAGGAUGACACAGCUGAUAUCGCCCCCAGAGCACUGAUGGGACAGGUAUGGCAGACAGCUGGACCUGGGCACGGGGGAGCCACAGACCCCAGGAUCUUGGGGAGAAGAUCCAUGAGCUGGGAUUCCCCAUAUUUAAAAUACCUGAUAGAAUGGCUGGGCAUAGUGGCUCACACCUGUAAUCCCGGCACUUUGGGAGGCCGAGGUGGGUGGACCACUUGAGGUCAGGAGUUCAAGACCAGCCUGGCCCACAUGGGAAAACUCCGUCUCUACUAAAAAUACAAAAAUUAGCCAGGUGUGGUGGCAUGUGUCUGUAAUCCCAGCUACUCGGGAGGCCGAGGCAGGAGAAUCGCUUGAACCUUGGAGAUGGAGGUAGCAAUGAACCGAGAUUGCGACACUGCACUCCAGCCUGAGAGACAGAGUGAGACUCUGUCUCAAAAAAACAAAACAAAACAAAAAACCCCCCAAAACAAACCUGCACAUGUACCCCUUGAAUCUAAAAGCUGAAAUUUUAAAAUAAAUACAUAAAAAUACCUGAACAGCUGGACCGAAUCUUCCCAACGCUGUCUUGAGGCAGCAUCAGUGACCUUUGCCCUGGUGCCUUGAGCUAAGGCCUCAUGGCUUGCCAGGCCCCGUGGAGGGAGGAUCCUGGCUGCAGGAGGCAGAGCAGGUGCCAGGCUGCACUUCCACAUCAGAGAACACACAGUGCAGCAGCCACUUCUUUACUUUUGGACAGCAGGGCCAGGGCCCCCAAAUCUGUGAUUUUUUAAAAGGUCCUGAGGUGAUUUUCAUGCUCCAUGAGCUUCGGGAGUCACUGGAAAUGCCGACCAAACAUGCUGUCUUUGGAAUCAGAAAGAUCUGGGCUCAAAUCCCAGCUCUGUCACUCAUUAGCUCUGGGACUUGGGGAAAUAACUUAACCCCCUGAGCCCCAGUCUCCUUACCUGUAAAAUGGGGACAAUAAUACCC